UCCAGGCCCUACGGGGCGCAGCAGGCGCGAAACCUUCGCAAUACGCGAAAGCGUGACGAGGUCACUCCGAGUGCCACUCGCUGAGGGUGGCUUUUCCCAAGUCUAAAAAGCUUGGGGAAUAAGGGGAGGGUAAGUCUGGUGUCAGCCGCCGCGGUAA
rnacentral:rRNA from 1 species